UCUGUGGAGGUGAGGUAGUAGGUUGUAUAGUUUGGUGGGAGGGAUUCUAUCCCAUUUCAGGUGAUAACUAUACAGUCUAUUGCCUUCCUUGA
rnacentral:pre_miRNA from 12 species